rnacentral:lncRNA from 1 species
AUCAUGGGCUUGUGUGUGGGUCCCAGGGAAAGCAGGCAGAGAGUGGAAGAUGGACAGAGGUUUUGACUUUCUGGCAUAUAAGAGGUUUUUGCUUCUUCUGCUAUGAAACUGGUGUAACUUAAUUUCCUGAUAUUAUUCACUCCCUGCUGUCUAGGAUUAAUCUGGAUUUCCCCAAACAAUCCCAAAUGACAAGACUGAUCAAGUCUUCUGCGAUUUCACUGGAUAGGAUCAGAAGGAUCCUAGAGUAUACUCAGAGCUGGCCGCGUCAUAGCUGGCUGCCAUGUUCUUCUUAGGACAUCUUGCUCAGAAGUUGGGACUGUCAUCUCAUGCUGGCACCAUGACAUCCUCCUCAGUUUUUAUAGCCUUCUAACCAGCGUCAGUCUCAGAACUAUGGUCCCAUCACAGGCUCUCAUUUCAAUAGAGAAUGGACUGCUUAUUGGGAGUAGAAGCAAAGAUUAUUCUAACACAGAACUUCAUUACAGCCAAGAAUGACAUAUUGUCUUCCUUUGAUGUGCCAGAAGCAACAACCAACAGAAAACUCUAGAAAACAAGUUACGAACUCGUAACUAAAGAGCUUCUUGAUGAGAGUGAAAAAGGAGAGGUUUAAAACUCAGUAUUCAAAAAACAAAGAUCAUGGCAUCCGAUCC